rnacentral:tRNA from 1 species
GGCGGCAUAGCCAAGUGGUAAGGCAUUGGUCUGCAAAACCGAUACCCCCAGUUCGAAUCUGGGUGCCGCCU